GGCGGUAUUGCCAAGCGGUAAGGCGAUAGAUUGCAAAUCUUUUAUUCCCCAGUUCGAUUCUGGGUGCCGUCU
rnacentral:tRNA from 1 species